GAACAACUCGGGUUAAUUAUGUUCAUGGAAGAUUCAUCUGCCUCUUGUUAUCUAUAGCCUGUACCAGGUAAACAUCCAGAUCUCAGCUGUACUGACUUAGUUAAAACCAGCCAUUGAGAACUCAACAAGUUCAUAAGUCAAGGGUCCACUGUAACAGCAAUAAGGAUAACAAUGAAUAAUUACAGACGACUCUCAAAAAGAACCGACCAGCUUCACUAGAGGGGAGAACAUGGAGAGUUUCCA
rnacentral:lncRNA from 1 species